rnacentral:rRNA from 1 species
CUACGGGAUGCUCCAGUGAGGAAUAUUGGUCAAUGGGCGAGAGCCUGAACCAGCCAUCCCGCGUGCAGGAUGACGGCCCUAUGGGUUGUAAACUGCUUUUCCAUACCAAGAAACCUGAUUACGUGUAAUUAGUUGCCGGUAGUAUGGGAAUAGGCAUCGGCUAACUCCGUGCCAGCAGCCGCGGUAAUACGGAGGAUGCAAGCGUUAUCCGGAUUCAUUGGGUUUAAAGGGUGCGCAGGUGGGCUUGUAAGUCAGUGGUGAAAUGUUGCCGCUUAACGGUAAAGUUGCCAUUGAUACUGCAAGUCUUGAGUAUAGCUGAGGUAGGCGGAAUGUGUUGUGUAGCGGUGAAAUGCAUAGAUAUGACACAGAACACCGAUUGCGAAGGCAGCUUACUAAGCUAUUAUUGACGCUGAGGCACGAAAGCGUGGGGAUCGAACAGGAUUAGAUACCCUGGUAGUC